AAAAUUACGCACCCUACAAACACUAUUCUUCUCCUCUCUACACUAUUUGCCCCCUCCCUGACUUGAGCGUCGGAGGGCCGGCGCCGGAAAAUCCGGCCACCGGCUUGUCUGCAGGCACCCCAGACGGAGGACGCCGCCCGCCGACGGAUCGCCGCCCCGCCGUGAGGACCUGCUGCUCCCUCUCUCCGACCACCCCAGACGGAGGACGCCGCCCGCCGACUGGUCGCCGCCCCGCCGUGGUGACCUCCCGCUGCUCCCUCUCCUCGACCGAAGAUUGCCCCCGGGUCCAAUUUCCAGCAACA
rnacentral:lncRNA from 1 species